rnacentral:tRNA from 1 species
GGGGGUGGCCGAGUGGCUUAAGGCGCCUGACUGAUAAUCAGGUGUACCUCUAAGGGUACCAUGGGUUCGAAUCCCAUUCCCCCCGCCA